UGGGCAUCGACCGUCCACGUGUCAUGAUAUUACGUCAUACUUAUCCUUCCGAAUCGACCGGUCCAAAGCUUUUUACCUGCUUUCUUCCACGUAUACGUCGCUUUCAGAGCCAACAGAGGGGCAGUUCCGGUAUUUUCUAGAGUGGACCCGUCAUCACCAUGGAUUAAAAGAGGUGAUGGGCCCGGUGUGGGGCCAUUUGGCAAUGGAAGGAGUGUAUCGUGUCGAUCAACAUGUGAUUUCCUUUCGCUCAAAGGAGAUUCCCUAUACUACAGUUUGUAGAGUGUGUGGGGCAUGCUUUAUUGAUAUUUAUGAUUAGUGUUUCUUCCUUUUUCUUUAAGGCAAAAGCUACAAUUAAA